CUCCGCUCUCGCUCUCGGGUCGCCGCCGCCUGCUUGGGCUCUGGCUGGGGGACCCGGACCCGCGGCGUAGGGUCAGCCCAUGGAGGAAGUUCUGCUCUGGAGCUCAUUUGAAGAAGCGGUUUUAAACCUUGGAGGCGAAAAAAGUCCUUUUGGAAUCAGAGAAGCAAAAGGAUUUGAGGCUGGAUCUGAAUGCCCAGUGGGUAUGUGAAUGUUCAGAAGAAGUGCCAUGUAACGGAGAACAAGAAAGACAAGGAAUCAGUAUUAACUUGGGAAAGCCUAUAAGACCUAAUGCCAUGAGAACCAUUUACCCAGUGACCACAAUGUAAAGUAAAACAUCCCUAAGAAGCAGUCGAAUUCAUAUUAAUAUAAUAACAAAUCUUGAUUCCAGAAGACUGGUGAUGAAACCCAUUUCACUCUCUAGAGGUUGUGGGAUCCAGGUGUGCAAUCUUGUAUAUACUGCCAAGGUUGAUGUGGA